rnacentral:lncRNA from 1 species
UGCUGAAUAGUGAAGACUGGUAUUGAGCUGGGUAAUGAUAAUGUGGGAGUAGGCAGUAAGCCAUUCAACACUGAUAACUAAGUAAUUGUGAAUUCCAUUUAAAAUAAGUCAUUUGGUCUUCUCUUUAUCUGCUUUCAGAAUAAACAUGAUCGUAGACAUGGUGUAAUGUCUAAUCUAUUUCUGAAUGUAAUGGCAUUGAAAUAUUUUGAUGGAAGUAGGAGGACACAUAGUAAAAUAUUCAUGAUUCACUGGUCAUCUGGUAAAUCCCUGAAGAAAUGCUGAUAUGUACACCGCUGCCUUCUCUCAUGAGCUUCUAUAUGCAACAGAUGAGUGUAAUUGUCUAUGAAACAAAACAUCGGUAUCUACAUAUGAAUUUCAUAUUCAUGGCAAUGGAUGGAGACUAACAACAGUGCUUCUUAUUCCUUUCUUACACAGGAGCAGACUCCACUUCCACCUGAACCAUUUCGUGGUUUUAUUGAACUUUUAAUUUUGGAAGAACAGAGAAUGAGAUCUAGGGUGAUGCUACCCUGCCCUAGACAGCUCCAGGAAACAAACACCAGUGACAUGAGCAGCACGUGUUAUCACAAGUUUGGUUUUCUGGAUGUGGCAAAGCUGAGCAGAGCGUAUGACGCAGCUACAUUUUGUUACCAAUUCAGUCAUUGUCCCAACUGCAGGGUCUGGGGUGCAUCCCUUGACGUCCUGGUUGGUGUGACAUCCAGUGAUACCAAGACCUGAGCAGUAUCAAGCGAGCCACGAAUCUCACAACUGGAAGCAGUGUCGGAGGGGAGCCCCAGCCUCAGACCUGGGAGCAGAGUCAGAGGUAGGUAGGUUUGAGCUACAGGCCCUGAGCAGCGUCAGUGAGAGACCUGAAUCUCAGCCCAGAAGCAGCAUUAGAGGAAGGACUGAGCUUCAGGCCCGGAGCAGCAUCAAGGGAGCCAUGAGUCUCAGAACCCGCAGCAGUGUCAGAGGGAAGCCCUAACCUCAGCCCCAGGAGCGAAGAGUGAUCACUGGGUAAAGCAACAGUAGCACUAUGCAGCAGUAGCUUCCAGAAACUAUUACAAAAAGUUCCUCUGGAAUAGAGCACCUGUGUCCCAGCCAGCAUCCACUGCCAUUUCUCAGUGGGAGACACUCCACUACUACAUCUACUGACUCAGCUCCAGCUACACCUCCAACAGGAGGAGCGUCCACGGGGACUGUAGCCCCACCCGCACCUCAGGGCGUGACCACCUGAGCAUUGGGCCCACUUCCACCAGGAGGAGAGUUCACCUGAAGCUCUGCUCUACUUGUGCCUGAAGGAGCUGUCAAUGGAGCCACAGCCCCUAACUAUACCAAUUGGAGAAAGAGAAAACCCCUGAAGCACAAGCUCCACCUUUACCGAUUAGAGGAAGAGAUGCAUAGACAACACACUCAACAAUGAUACCUAGAGACUCAGGAAGCCUACCAUCUGUAGGCUGCUGCAGUGGUGGUCGGGAAAGGUAGACAGCUGUACAUUGUCAGGCAUACAAAUGAUAUCUGUGCAGUAUAGCUACAACUAAACCACCAGCAGCCACAGAACUAAUGCAAUUUAUUCUCUGUGACUAGUCUCUUCAGAAGCAAUUAUAACAUAUAAUGAUAUCUAUGGUAAGGAUAAUAAGGCCUUUUCUGGGUUCGAGGAAUCUUUGUUUCUAUCAAAGGAGCUUUGGGGUCUCUCUAGAGAUUAGGCCAUGCAUUUAUUGGGAAUUAGUGGGUGAUAUUGUUGCUUCCGAAACCAUGGCACAACACUGUGAUGUUCUUAGGGACAGAACAUCCAUCCAUUAGAUGACAGUAUUUGUUGCCAGUGAGGAGAGGAAUCCUUCCUUGGCUGCUGACCUAAUGAUUGGUUAACAUCAGGCUCCAGAAGGCACACAUUUUUAUGGUACAUUAAUAUUUUCUUGCCUUUGUUAUUGCUGACAGGAAAUACAUAAUAGGUCUUUCCUCAUGCAUGAAGCUUUUCAUUUGUAAAAUUUUUCACUUCAAUAAUAAGACAUUUGAUUAAUACAGGGAAGCUAGGUUUUAGAGGAAACUCAUAUCAUUGUUGGUCAUACAUGAUGCAGAACCUUCCAGUAUUCUAUAGCAAAAUGUGAUGGUGCCUUCUGAAUGAAGCCAAAUCCAGAAGAAAUAAUAGUAAGUAAAUGUUAACUAUUGCAAUGGAGUUGGAUCCUAUGGUUGGUGAGCUAUUUGUUUUGUGACGUUCCCAAGGGUUAUUUUAUUGAGAGUUUUGCCAUUAAGUGGUCUAAUUGUGUCAGUGGAUGGGGGCAUUUUGAAUUUGCAUAAUUUCCUCAAGGGACCUCAGCUGCUAAUUUGGUGAUUAAUUAUCCAUAUUACACAUUGUUUAUUUGACCAUGCCUAGAUUAAUUUCUUUUUCCCAGCAAAUCACAUUUAGAUAUGAAUUUGCAUAUCUUGAUUACAUUUUAAUGUCAUGGCUAUCAUUGUCUCUUCCCUGGACACCUCAUGAGCUCAUAUAAGAGUGAUCAAGCAGAGAAUGAUGGAAUGUCUUAAAUGACAUCCCACAUCAGUGGACAGAAAAUGCGCAUGACUUAUUUUUAAUGAAGAAUGUGUUCCUUAAUAAUCCAGUAAAUUACAAUAUUUGAUGUGCAGUAUAUUUUGUGUUUCUAAUAUUUCCAUUUUAUUAUUGCCAACCAAUGUUAAUGUCUUAACUUUUUUAAUGUUUUUAUCAAUACAAAUAUAUAUCUGUAUGCAUACAUAUAUAUACACAUACAUAUAUAUUUAUGACUAAAAAUUGCAUUUUAUUUAUCUAUAGUGUGGCAUUCUGUUAUCAAAUUCUAACAAGCUUUAUAAUCACAUCAGGCUCAAGAAUGACUAGAAUUCUGGUUGCCCUGUGCUAAUACUACUUAGACUCAUAGAGUGUGUCUCAAGUUAUUUUAUUUCAUUUAUACACAAUGUAUCAUUGUUAUUUACUUUAUGGAGUACUAUCUCAAUUGCAGAUAGUACCUACUCAUUUUUAUUCAUUGUUAAACUGUCUUAUGAGAAAAAUUAUACUUUACUUGUCUUAAAAAAGAGCUAAUAAAUUUUAGAGACAGACAGAAAAUAAUUUAUUU